rnacentral:rRNA from 1 species
CAUGCAGUCGAGCGGUAGCACAGAGAGCUUGCUCUCGGGUGACGAGCGGCGGACGGGUGAGUAAUGUCUGGGAAACUGCCUGAUGGAGGGGGAUAACUACUGGAAACGGUAGCUAAUACCGCAUAACGUCGCAAGACCAAAGUGGGGGACCUUCGGGCCUCAUGCCAUCAGAUGUGCCCAGAUGGGAUUAGCUAGUAGGUGGGGUAAUGGCUCACCUAGGCGACGAUCCCUAGCUGGUCUGAGAGGAUGACCAGCCACACCGGAACUGAGACACGGUCCAGACUCCUACGGGAGGCAGCAGUGGGGAAUAUUGCACAAUGGGCGCAAGCCUGAUGCAGCCAUGCCGCGUGUAUGAAGAAGGCCUUCGGGUUGUAAAGUACUUUCAGCGAGGAGGAAGGCAUUAAGGUUAAUAACCUUAGUGAUUGACGUUACUCGCAGAAGAAGCACCGGCUAACUCCGUGCCAGCAGCCGCGGUAAUACGGAGGGUGCAAGCGUUAAUCGGAAUUACUGGGCGUAAAGCGCACGCAGGCGGUCUGUUAAGUCAGAUGUGAAAUCCCCGGGCUCAACCUGGGAACUGCAUUUGAAACUGGCAGGCUUGAGUCUUGUAGAGGGGGGUAGAGUUCCAGGUGUAGCGGUGAAAUGCGUAGAGAUCUGGAGGAAUACCGGUGGCGAAGGCGGCCCCCUGGACAAGACUGACGC